AGGAAGUAGAGAGGAGACAUUGCUGGAACUGGCAGCAGAGGUAAAUGUUAACUUUUCCGAAGCUAUAAGGAAACGCUAUCGUAGAUCACGUGACCGCAUGAACAAGGAUGGAUGAAAAACGGAGUCAGUUGACCGAGAGGUUAAUAAACCUCACCUUGGAGAUCAUCUACCUGCUGACCGGAGAGAGUUUUCCUCUUGUGAAGUCUGGUGAUCAAGUGACCAUCACAGUGCCUCCAUUUCACUCCCUGAUACUUGAGGAAAACAGUAAGCAGAAGAUUCUAGAAGUCACCAAGAGGAUCGCUGAGCUGCUGA